AGAAAUAUCAGUUUUAGAGGAAGAACACAGUCUUGGAAAUGUGUGUUUGCGCACGCACUAUGAAGACCUUACUCACCUGAAGACAUUACUUUCCUAUUGAACAUACUUCUUUCCCUGGGACCCUUUGGAGAACAAAUCAGAGGAAGAUUUUCAAAAAGACCUGAGCCCUAGGACCAUGCCUCAGGACUACCUGGUAUGAUGACUCCUUGCUGUCCCCAGUCCACCUGGCCGUGCUGCUGCUCCAGUUUCAACUGUUCUGCCUGCGGCUAUGGAACCCUGACCUGUUCACCGGACGUGCUUGUUGCACCCUCGACAACUACUAUGAUUAUUAUUAUUUGACCAUGCUGGUCAUUUAUGAACAUUUUAACAUUUUAACAUUUUGACCAUGUUCUGUUAUAAUAUCCACCCUGCACAGCCAGAAGAGGACUGGCCACCCCUCAUAGCCUGGUUCCUCUCUAGGUUUCUUCCUAGGUUUUUGGCCUUUCUAGGGAGUUUUUCCUAGGGAGUUUUUCCUAGCCACCGUGCUUCUUUCACAUGCUUUGCUUGCUGUUUGGGGUUUUAGGCUGGGUUUCUGUACAGCACUUUGAGAAUAUCAGCUGAUGUACGAAGGGCUAUAUAAAAAUAAAUUUGAUUUGAUUUGAUUUGUGUGAUUAGGGUCGUUAUCCUGUUGGAAGGUGAAACUUUGCCCCAGUCUGAGGUCCUGAACACUCUGGAGCAGAUUUUCAUCAAGGAUCUCUCUGUACUUUGCUCCAUUCAUCAUUCCCUCAUCCUGACUAGUCUCCCAGUCCCUGCUGCUGAAAAACAUCCCCACAGCAUGAUACUGCCACCACCAUGCUUCACCGUAGGGAUGGUGCCAGGUUUCCUCCAGAUGUGACACUUGGCACUCAGGCCAAAGAGUUCAAUCUUGGUUUCAUCAGACCAGAGAAUCUUGUUUCUCAUGGUCUGAGAGUCCUGUAGGUGCCUUUUGGGCCAACUCCAAGUGGGCUGUCAUGUUCCUUUUCCUGAGGAGUAGCUCUGUCUGGCCACUCUAACACAAAGGCCUGAUUGGUGGAGUGCUGCGGAGAUGGUUGUCCUUCUGGAAGAGGAACACAGAGGAACUCUGGAGCUGUCAGACUGACCAUCGGGUUCUUGAUCACCUCCCUGAGCAAGGCUCUUCUCCCCGAUGACUCAGUUUGGCCUGGCGGCUCUAGGCAGUGUCUUGGUGGUUCCAAACAUCUUCCAUUUAAGAAUGAUGGAGGCCACUGUGUUCUUGGGGAACUCAAUGCUGCAGAAAUGUGUUGUUACCCUUCCCCAGAUCUCUGCCUCGACCCAAUCCUGUCUCUGAGAUUUACGGACAAUUCCUUCGACCUCAUGGCUUGGUUAUUGCUCUGACAUGCACUGUCAACUGUGGGACCUUAUAUACGUAGACAGGUGUGUGCCUUUCCAAAUCAUGUCCAGUCGAUUGAAUUGACCACAGGUGUACUCCAAUCAAGGAUGAUCCACGGAAACAGGAUGCACCUGAGCUCAAUUUCGAGUCUCAUUGCAAAGGCUCUGAAUACUUAUGUAAAUGAGGUAUUUCUGUUUUUUGUUUUUAAUAAAUUUGCCAAAAAAUUAAUGUUUGCAUUAUGGGUUAUUGUGUAGAUUUGAUGAGGAUGUAACUUAACAAAAUGUAGAAAAAGUCAAGGGGUCUGAAUACUUUCCAAAUACACUGAAAAUCAAUCGCAUUCUGUAACAUAAAAGUCUCCAAUCAAUCAUUUAAAAUGCCUGAAAGGCACCAGAAUAUCUAAUUGUAAGGAAUUCUGAGUAUUGUUCCACACAUAUAUAUGGAGGGUCUGCUGAACAAUUAUAUGAGCCAUUUGGGCCAGGGAUAUGGUUCAUUUUAAGGGUCGUGUGAGAGUAAAGGCUAAAUGUGGUUAGAAAAGAAUGGGCUUCUGUCGUCUCUAGCAUUGCCAUGGUGUCAUGGUGACGACAGUAGUGUCGGGCAGUUCUGUGGUCAGUCAAUUAGGCUGAAUCUUACCUGCGUCCCAAGUGGCAUCUUAUUCCCUUUAUAAUGCACUACUUUUGACCAAGGCCCAUAGGGCUAAUGUCAAAAGUAGUGCACUAUACAGGGAAUACGGUGCCAUUUGGGAAGCAACCUAAAGGACAGGCGACACAGGACACAACCACUGAUGCAUUUAGCUGUUGAAAUUCCAUUUUUCAACCACUGACCCCAGACGUCCCUCCCUCAUCUCUAUUCCUACAGCGGUAAUUGAGGGUUAAUUCAACAGUUAAGGAUUAAGAAGGGGAGAGAGCAUGAUAGGCAAGCAGCUGCCUCUUACAAUAUACAUUUAAAUCUACACAAUUAUACCUUGAAUCACCUCAAACAGCCUAGCUAAAGAGGUUGAGAACAGAGUUCCUUUUCUUAGGGAGAAUCUCAAUUGGUUUCCUCGACUCCUCUCCUCUUCUCCUUUAAAAACGGUUAAAGGUAAUCGAGGAAAGAAGCCGAGGAGAGGAAACGUGAAGAUUUUUUUUUUUUAAAUUGAUGGUUUUUACCUUUAGCGCCUAUCUAUUUUAUCCUGCUACUGGUCAUUAUUAGUGCUGUUUACAUGUGCAUGUACAGUAUUACCACCAGCAUAUUACCAUACAUAUUUAAAUAUUCCUGCUACCACUACAUUUUCUGCCCUGUUUGCAUGUUUAUCCACGUAUUAUGUCUACACUGUCACUCUUGCACACACACUCACACUAACACCCACACACUUAC
rnacentral:lncRNA from 1 species